UGGGCAUGCUGGUAGUUGUAGUUUUGCAACAUCUGAAGGGCAACAGCUUGAAGAAUAUUGCUAUUAACCUAAAAGCUAGAUGCACCCAGUGUCAUCUCUCGGGCCGUCUUGGCGUAUCCAUUCUGCAGGAGAUGCUGGUAAAUGAGCGGCAGCAGACCCCUGACACGCACCAUGAUGACAACCCUCCGAGCAGCUCAGCUACUCUCCCACAGCCACCACGUGCUUCCUGUAACGCUACUUCCGGGUGCGUCUCUCCAGGAGAAUUAUGGGACGAGACCAAAGGUAACACUAAUGGGCGAUGAGCCAGAUGAAAUCCAGGACUCCAUGCUCAGAUUCCAAAGUUAUUGAAAAGUAAUCUAUCAAAAAGUGAUACAGUUUCUUUAAUUUCUUCUUUUUUUUUUAUUAUAGUUCUUAGACUACCC